ACGAACGCUGGCGGCGUGCCUAAUACAUGCAAGUCGAGCGGACUGAUUAAGAGCUUGCUCUUAUGACGUUAGCGGCGGACGGGUGAGUAACACGUGGGCAACCUGCCCUGUAGAUCGGGAUAACACCGAGAAAUCGGUGCUAAUACCGGGUAAUAUCUGAGAUCACAUGAUCUUAGGUUAAAAGAUGGCUCCGGCUAUCACUACAGGAUGGGCCCGCGGCGCAUUAGCUAGUUGGUAAGGUAAUGGCUUACCAAGGCGACGAUGCGUAGCCGACCUGAGAGGGUGAUCGGCCACACUGGGACUGAGACACGGCCCAGACUCCUACGGGAGGCAGCAGUAGGGAAUCUUCCGCAAUGAACGAAAGUCUGACGGAGCAACGCCGCGUGAGUGAUGAAGGGUUUCGGCGCGUAAAGCUCUGUUGUUAGGGAAGAAACAGUACCGAACGAACUAGGUCGGUACCUUGACGGUACCUAACCAGAAAGCCACGGCUAACUACGUG
rnacentral:rRNA from 1 species